GAGGUUGUGCCCUUGAGGCGUGGCUUCCGGAGUUAACGCGUUAAGUCGACCGCCUGGGGAGUACGGCCGCAAGGUUAAAACUCAAAUGAAUUGACGGGGGCCCGCACAAGCGGUGGAGCAUGUGGUUUAAUUGGAUGCAACGCGAAGAACCUUACCUACUCUUGACAUCCAGGGAACUUAGCAGAGAUGCUUUGGUGCCUUCGGGAACUGUGAGACAGGUGCUGCAUGGCGGUCGUCAGCUCGUGUUGUGAAAUGUUGGGUUAAGUCCCGCAACGAGCGCAACCCUUAUCCUUUGUUGCCAGCGGUUCGGCCGGGAACUCAAAGGAGACUGCCAGUGAUAAACUGGAGGAAGGUGGGGAUGACGUCAAGUCAUCAUGGCCCUUACGAGUAGGGCUACACACGUGCUACAAUGGCAUAUACAAAGAGAAGCGACCUCGCGAGAGCAAGCGGACCUCAUAAAGUAUGUCGUAGUCCGGAUUGGAGUCUGCAACUCGACUCCAUGAAGUCGGAAUCGCUAGUAAUCGUGGAUCAGAAUGCCACGGUGAAUACGUUCCCGGGCCUUGUACACACCGCCCGUCACACCAUGGGAGUGGGUUGCAAAAGAAGUA
rnacentral:rRNA from 1 species